AGAAGCACUACAGUGCCUGCUGUAUAAUUUGACUCAGACUUCAUUGAGCAAGAUGGCAUAACAUCAACUGGAUAUCCCCCUGCAGGGAGUUUCAUCUCCAGUACCUGGCCAGGAUGUUGAGAGGAUUAUUUCAUCAUGGGUUUUAUGUACGACCUAUCACUAUCACAUGAAAGCACUAAAUGAAGUUAAAUUAAAAAUCCAGCUGAUGCUAGGAAGCAUGGUGUGAGAAACUCUGCAGGGGCAGGACCAUAUUUUACCAUUGCCAACUGAUGUAAAAGAAAGGAUUGUCCCUAUGAAAGAAUGAAGGAAGAAUCUUCUGGCAGUAAUGAGGUAAUGCAGAGCCUUUGGUGUUUGAAAGGAUCUGAGCUCUGUAAUAUCCACCCAGAUUUUGAGUGUUGCACACUUGGAUCUUUCUCCUCGAGCUGGUUUGAAUGUCUGCUCCAGUGUCCAGCCUUGCUGUACUGUUCCCUGCAUUUCAAAUAUUGCUGAGAGAAGUGAAAAUGAAUGUUGUAUUGCCUUGAGGAAGUUCAUCUGCCUUGCAUCAGAGAGCCAGAUGGCCCAAGGAUUUGGUGACAGAUUAUGAAGGCUUACACUUGAUUGAUUUCUGGAUAGUAGACAGUGCAGUGUGGGUCUUCUGUUCUGCUGCAGCCUUAGCCACAAAAAACUUAAAUCUCAGUCCCUUCAUUCUGUGACAUGAUGAUGCCUGAUAUAUGAGGGCUGCUCUGAAAGUAAUGCUUCCUAUUUUAUUAUGUUGGUCCACAACACCAAGGGGUGGAUAUCUCUGAUAUGGCAGUAGAGGCAGAACCUUCCCACCAAUAUUCCGUUACGUUUUGUUGCAACAGUGACAGUGCUGAAAUAUCGCAAAGUUUGCGCCAGGCAAGACCCGUGGAUGCUCACACAGGAACAGAAGGAGCACUGCAUGCAAGUUUGUUGGGACCCAUUGAACAAAUACGAAGCUGAAGGUGACAGCAUCCUGGAUUGCAACAUUACCAGUGACGAGGCAUCGUGUCAUCACUACGAGCCAAAGUCAACACGACAGUCCAUGGAGUGAUGACAUGUGAAUUCUGCAUUAGAGAAAAAGUUCAAGACAC
rnacentral:lncRNA from 1 species